GCACCCGCGGUAAUUCCAGCUCCAAUAGCGUAUAUUAAAGUUGUUGCAGUUAAAAAGCUCGUAGUUGAACUUCUGUACAGUCUCACUUCUGGCUUCGGUCAAGGUGUUGGCUGUGCAUCCGCUUGCAAAGCUGGUUCGGCCUUAACUGGUCGGCUAGUAGAGUAAGCCCUUUACUUUGAAAAAAUUAGAGUGUUUCAGGCAGGCAAUGGCUCGAAUACAUUAGCAUGGAAUAAUGGAAUAGGACUUUUGUCCAUUUGGUUGGUUCUUGGACUUAAGUAAUGAUUAAAAGGGACAGUUGGGGGCAUUGGUAUUUAACAGUCAGAGGUGAAAUUCUUGGAUUUGUUAAAGACUAACUUAUGCGAGAGCAUUUGCCAAGGAUGUUUUCAUCAAUCAAGAACGAAAGU
rnacentral:rRNA from 1 species